UACCCGCAGCACAAGUGGUGGUCAUUAUUAUUGGGCCUAAAGCGUCCGUAGCUGGCUUGUUAGAUGCCUGGGUAAAUCGAUGCGCUCAACGUAUCGAACUCCGGGUAGACCGGCAAGCUUGGGACCGGGAGAGGCGUGAGCUACUCGGGGGGUAGGGGUAAAAUCCUGUAAUCCUCCGGGGAGGACCAGUGGCGAAGGCGUCACGCUAGAACGGCUCCGACAGUGAGGGACGAAGCCCUGGGGCGCAAACCGG
rnacentral:rRNA from 1 species